rnacentral:lncRNA from 1 species
CAGGUUAGGUCAGACAAUGAACUCUUUUUAACAAAAAAAACAGAAAUUCAUACAUUAACAAGAAGAGAAAAGAGAAGAAAAAACGUGAUACUGAUUGCCGAUGACAAAAGAAGACCACACCUUGCAGUAGAUGACUCUUUUGUGUCUAUAAUGACUGAAACUCGUUCGACAUCAUUUAUCGGAAUGAUCAUCCACCAUUGGGAAUCAUUUUUUAGCCAAGACUCUUGGGAUCCGCAUGCAAAAUCAAUCCAUGAUUUGCCCUCAACCCUGUUUCAAGAAGCAGACAUGUUACACAUGAUUCUCCAUAUAUGGAUAGUUUGUAUGUAUCAAGAUUAGGAAGGUUGUCAGUAGCAAAAAGGAUUAUGGAAAGCAUGACUCAUGAAGAAAACAAAGGAAAAGGUUGCAGGAACUGAUGUUGGUGCAAACUUUCCAAGAAAUAUAACUUUUUACAACCGGAUUCAUCCCAAACUCUCCUAGUAGUCUCAAUUAUAUAAGAACCCAACCAACAAGUAGAUCCUGAUCUUUUUUAUGAAGCUAUCUCCCGUUCACAAUAUUAUGACUCGGGCCUGAUGGGCUAACUAGCCUAUCAACUUUGUUUGGUCUAAACCACUGACCAAAAUACUUAAGCUGAAGUUGAUAGUAGGGUGUUACAAUCACCCCCACUUAAAGGCUUGAUGUCCUCGUCAAGGCCUAACAUAACCCAGAUCAAACCCUAGUAUGGUGCAUGUGUUACAAUCACCCCCAAUAUUAUCGUUGGAUAUGGACCAACUAUAAUAUUGUGAUUUCAGAAGUUUUUCUGCAUAGUCAUUCUUCCUCUUCCUCAAAUACUAUAAUAUGGAAUUUUGGUAUAUUUUCAUUUCACUUUCAUAUUGUUUGCACAACUCUUAACUUCACUAGAAGGUAAGUGUUUCGACGAGAAAAUGAAAAAUAAACCAUACACUUACCAUGAACAGCCAGUGUAUAGGAUAAUCGACAGAAGAUUGUCGAGAAUUUAGCAUAAUUCAAAUUUCACGAAGAAGAUUACAAUUUACAUUCAAUAGAUCUGAAUAUUAAAAAAUCAGAUAGAUCAUGUUAUCCAAAAAGAACCACAUAUAUAAAAGAAGCAGGUUAGGUCAGAUAAUGAACUCUUUUUAACAAAAAAAACAGAAAUUCAUACAUUAACAAGAAGAGAAAAGAGAAGAAAAAACGUGAUACUGCUUGCCGACGACAAAAGAAGACCACACCUUGCAGUAGAUGACUCUUUUGUGUCUAUAAUGACUGAAACCCGUUCGACAUCAUUUAUCGGAAUGAUCAUCCACCAUCGGGAAUCAUUUUUUAGCCAAGACUCUUGGGAUCCGCAUGCAAAAUCAAUCCAUGAUUUGCCCUCAACCCU